GGUGGGGUUCCCGAGCGGCCAAAGGGAACGGACUGUAAAUCUGCCGUCAUCGACUUCGAAGGUUCGAAUCCUUCCCCCACCACCA
rnacentral:tRNA from 1 species